UGGAUGAAAUAUGAAGUUUUAUUAAAAGAAAAAGGGGUGAAAAGAACAAAGUUUUGUCCAUCGUUGUUCAUCAUAGCUGAAAGUUAGAGAAGAGAAAGGAGAGGAGAAAGCUCUUGAGUAUUCGGUCAUUAGGAGGAGGAAAAUUGAAGGAAAUCCCCAACCAUAGUGGGCUUGGAGCUGUGAGGGAAUUCGGAGUGGCCACCCGUUCUGAAAGUUUGAUUUUCUUCUGGUGAACUGGACAUCCUUUUAUUUACGUUUGAAGUUUUUGGGCUUUUAAAUGUAAUAAGGCCGCUUAAUUAUUUUUGAUGGUUUUAA